rnacentral:snRNA from 1 species
GAAUUUAGACAAGAGAAAAAAAAAACAAAGUUCUCCCAGGCCGAGGCUCAUCCAUUGCACUCCGGGUGUGCUGACCACUGCGAUUUCCCCAAAUGCGGGAAACUCGACGGCAUAAUUCGGGGUAGUUGGGGACUGCGUUCGCGCUCUCCCCUG